AACCUUAUUAAAAGAGCAGAAAAAGGAACAAUUGAAAUAAAAAACUUAAAUUGAAAAUGAUAACAAAUCUAUUCUAAACAUUUGACCCAUCAACUAACAUCUUUAAUUUAUCAUUAAAUUGAACUAGAACAUUUCUAGGACUAUUAUUAAUCCCAUCACUAUUUUGACUUACACCAUCACGAAUUAACAUUAUCUGAAAUAAACUAAAUUUAACCUUACAUAAUGAAUUUAAAACACUACUUGGACCAAAAUCAUUUAAUGGAACAACAUUCAUUUUCAUCUCAAUUCUUAUUAUAAUAUUAUUUAACAAUUUCAUAGGAUUAUUCCCUUAUAUUUUUACUAGAACAAGACAUUUAGCAUUAACAUUUGCAAUUGCCCUACCUAUAUGACUAAGAUUUAUAUUAUUUGGAUGAAUUAA